UAAUAGGUGUUUGUUACGUUACCUGUUUAGUUUUUCAAAGGAUAUUUCGUCAAAAAAUUUACGAUUGUUUUUGAAUGUGGUGGUGUUUCACCUUGUCAGGUAUGCCAGAAGCCUGCAUUCCUGCUAUCAAUGUAAAACAAGGAAUCCUGACACUUUAAGAAGGCCAGUAUUCCUUACAGGAAGAUCACCAUCCAGUUCAAUCAAUGACAGAGUCUUCAUCUAUUUUACAUUGCCAGCCAACAGCCCUCUGCAUCCCAGAUAUCUAGAUUUCCAAGCUUCGCUGAUUAGCCAACCAUCAUCCAUACACUUCAGCUCUUCAUUGUGGUUUCUCUUCCUCUCUUCUUAAUCUGCCGAAAGCCAACAUGAAAUAAGGUUCAUCUUCAUUGGAUUACCAUGAAACUUGUCAUUGUUAAUCCUGCUGUUCUUCUCACCAUUACUUAGCCAGCUAACAUGGAUAGGCGUUAACACCAUCUCCAUUUUUUGGACUGCAAAUAUUCAUCUUCCUUUGGUACAACACUGCUGUUUCGACAAUUUCGCUAGUUUCGCCCCCCAGUGCACCACACGCAACUACAUUUUUUUCGUCUUCCUGUCGUGGUUGUCUACGCCUUCACCUCAUCGCUGUCUUCGUUGACGGGUUCGCCUUCAUCUCCGUCUCGUCGUCGUCUUGGCCGUCUUUUUCUACGCCAUCACCUCGUUGCCGGCUUCGCCUUCGCUUUUCACGUAGAGUUCACCGUGGAUCGUCGCCCUGGUAUUGUUUUAUUUUGCAUUGUAAUGUUUAAGUUAACCCGUUGGCUGCCACCCCGUUUGCGUCCCAUUUUUUUAGCUUGUAGGGACCGGC